rnacentral:rRNA from 1 species
UACGUAGGGCGCAAGCGUUAUCCGGAAUUAUUGGGCGUAAAGAGCUCGUAGGCGGUUUGUCGCGUCUGCCGUGAAAGUCCGGGGCUCAACUCCGGAUCUGCGGUGGGUACGGGCAGACUAGAGUGAUGCAGAGGAGAAUGGAAUUCCUGGUGUAGCGGUGAAAUGCGCAGAUAUCAGGAAGAACACCCGUGGCUAAGGCGGUUCUCUAGUACGGUACUGACGCUGAGACGCGAAAGCGUGGGGAGCGAACAGG